GCCGCAGUAGCUCAGUGAUAGAGCCCCCGCUUCGCUUGCGGGGAGACCCGGGUUCGAUUCCCGGUUGCUUCC
rfam:Toxocara canis scaffold69, whole genome shotgun sequence.